AACGUAGGUACCGAGCGUUAUCCGGAUUUACUGGGCGUAAAGCGCGUUCAGGCGGUUUGGCAAGUCGGGCAUGAAAUCUCUCGGCUCAACCGGGAGAGGUUGUCCGAUACUGCUGGACUUGAGGGCAGUAGAGGGUGGUGGAAUUCCGGGUGUAGUGGUGAAAUUCGUAGAUAUUGGGAAGAACACCGAUGGCGAAGGCAGCCAUCUGGACCGACACUGACGCUGAGGCGCGAAAGCGUGGGGAGCAAACAGG
rnacentral:rRNA from 1 species